CUAUGCGCCUUGCCAGCCCGCUCAGGGUGCCAGCAGCCGCGGUAAUACAGAGGUCUCAAGCGUUGUUCGGAAUCACUGGGCGUAAAGCGUGCGUAGGCGGUUUCGUAAGUCGUGUGUGAAAGGCGGGGGCUCAACCCCCGGACUGCACAUGAUACUGCGAGACUAGAGUAAUGGAGGGGGAACCGGAAUUCUCGGUGUAGCAGUGAAAUGCGUAGAUAUCGAGAGGAACACUCGUGGCGAAGGCGGGUUCCUGGACAUUAACUGACGCUGAGGCACGAAGGCCAGGGGAGCGAAAGGG
rnacentral:rRNA from 1 species